GUAAUAAAACUAAGUGAGUCUAUGACCUUCAAAAUACAUUUUCGCUACAUUUCUAAUAUAAAGUUUUGCCAACUCCUGAAGGUAUUUUCCCGGCUUUGUUCCUUGCAACUUGCAAGAGUAUGAAAUUUCCGGUUACACCCGAACUUAACCACUCCUUACUUGUUUUUUUUACUAACUUUCCAUAACAGAUAAUUUUAGGCAGUUGGCAAACGUUUUCGAACUUUUAUUAUAAUCUAAAUAACUUAUAUAAUUAUAAUAAGUAGUGCCAUCUAAACAGCGACUCUGACGUGAUUCUGUUACGUCUCACAAUUUUGUGGUAUGACAUAUGUAUAAAAACAAAGCAGGUUGAACUUAAUCCACUAUAGUAUAACCCUCCUUUCUCUUUUCUCACACUCACACAAAACCCCUCAUUUACUUAAGCAUUUAAUUGAGUACACUAAUUCGACUCAAUUUGACAAAAACAUAAGAAUUUAAUUUAAUAUAAUUUCUCUCAGCGCUCCACAAAAGCAAUUACAAUGGCAAUUAUAACAAUAAGUAGAGGGUGGAACUGUCGACACUCGAAAAUUAUUUCUUACGUACCUAAAUCUUAACGUAACACUUAAACGAAUUCCAAAAUUAACGCAAACACAAAAGAGACAAUCUAAAAAUGAAGCUAUCGCGUAGCGUGGCACCCAGAGCUUUCAUGAAGAAUAAACAAAUGGCAAAAAGGUAAACAUAUCGCUGCUUUAAAGUAAGACAACAACAAAAAUUGUUAUCACGUAAAGUUGUUGUAAAGCAACACAAUAAAUCGGUACUCAGUUUUUGCGAGAAGCGUCGACGGCUGGGUAUAAGAGUGAACAAUUUAACCGCAUUGUUGAGAUAUUAAUUACAACUACAAGUGAAUUAACUACGAAUUACCCUCGUGGCACAUGUGAAAAUCGUAAUCAUGGUAAAAGUGUUAGUAUGAAGAAACCGAGUGGAGAGUCUGUCGUUACGGUAGUGCGUCAAAUGAGAGUAACGAGCAAUUUCGCGCGCGCUCCAUAAGUCAGUAAGUCAAAUAGCAUAUGAUUACAGUGAUACAAGGUGGAUAGAAGUUGAAAGAAAACAUAAAUAUUUUCGAGGAACUGUGAAAUAUUAAUAAUUGUAAGAAAAUUAUCUAUUUUCAAUUUAGAAGAAAUAGUAAAAUAUCUCUCUAAAGGGUAUACAGGCAUCUUUAACGGAGAUAUAUAACAACAAUAAUCAGAAAUUAAAUGGAGAAAUUAUGCUUAAGGUCAACGUGGGAACGCUCUUUAUCGAAUGCAAGAUUUACCACAGGAUCAAAAUUACCCGAAAGUCUUCAAAAUAGGCUCUUGAGCCUAUAUCAGCAUUGCCAACGAUUAAUCCAAUUUUCCAUACAUUUGUUAAAAGCCUGUAAUGACCGUCAAUGCCUGCAGCGAAUUUUGUUGUUUUCGGUGACAUUCCCUAUAUUGUUAGACAGUUUCGACGUCAUAUUCAUAAACUACCAGUAAUCAUGCGUUUGAUUAAUCUAGGGUCCACAUCUGCGUUGUCAAGCAUCUAUUUAGCGACCGCCACUCAAUAUCGCUUUUGUAAAAGGUUUCCGGUAUUUUGGUACGAGUUUAGUAUUGACUCGCUUCAUACCCAAAACCUAAACCAAAAUGUCUUGACUCCAUCCGUAAGAGAUGUUGAGAUCUUCCGCUAUCUCCUUGAAGUCAACUGGACGAUUUUUAAGCGCUAUUUCUUUAACUUUAUAGAUUUUAACUUCAUUUACAGCAAUGCAUGGAAGACCGGAAUGAGACAAGUUUUCAAUGACUUCUCGAUUUUUUUUAGUAACUUUGAUGUAACUUUUCAAAGAUAAGGAGGAGCGAUAAGUUAUUUUUAGAAAAUUAGUCUUUCUUUCCACAAUCACUAGAAUGUUAUUUUCAGAGAUAAUAUUUCCCACACAAAUGUUCCAAAUACACCACAGUACAUAAAAAUCAGUCACUUUAAUAAAAGACCGUUGCAAAUCUAAAUGAAAGUACGUGAGUACACCCGAGUACUUGACGACUGAGACACAUCGCGAAAUCUGCGCCAGAAGCAUGCACAGUCGAGCCCACUGGGAGUAGCGCAGCCGGCAGUGGAGCAACUGGCUGAGUGACUCGAUUGAACGGCGCCACAAACAGUUGUACGAUGCACGCCCGCCAGUAAUGUACAGACGCUAACGGUUAACGGUUGAAUUGUAUCGAAUUUUUCAUUUCAAGUGGGUUCAAGCAGACUUUCGCGAACGCUCAGCAGCUGAGGCAAAUAGAAAGCUAAAUUGAGAGAACAAAAAAAACUUCAACGAAUCAAGCACUAUAGGCACGUUCACUGGAUAUAAUAGAAUUAAAUUCGAGUAAGUGUUAGGCCAUGCGAGCGACAGUGGCAUGCCGCCGCGCGCAAAGAUAACAUUAGGGACUGCGGCAUCGAACUGCAUGUAAUCUUAGCUAGUAUUUGUGCGCUUUGCAUUAUUGUUUUUGUUAUUUGUGGACUGUUCUAAUUAGCAAACAAUUGAUACGCGCGUAAUUCGAAGCGUGCGUCUCAGCUUGCCACACCGCAAUCUCCACACGCCGCGCUGAUUGUAUUGUUCGUUGAAUAACGGUUCAAAAAAAGUGGAAAACACUUAAUUUUACAUACGGCCAUAAAGUUCAAUUCAGUUCAGUUUAGUUUAGUGUCUACAAGUUGUCUUAUCUGACGACGUCGUUGGUCGCCGCGCCGCACACCGUCACACACCGUCAAAUGCAGUGCAAUGCUUUUCGAGGUAUUUUAUGUGCAAUUUUAUACAUGCUUAGGUAGUUAACCCGCCAAGCAGCGCUUUUGUUAAAGUCACUGUGAAAAAGCAAUAACAAAACGGAACAAAAAAGUUAAACGCAAAAUAAAAAAAAAGUUGUGGGAAAAGUGUUGUGGAAAAGUUGUUGCCCGCUUGCGCAGUAGUGAAAGUGUAAAUUAAACGCGCCGCAUAUAACCGGCAUCACAAGACAAAGCUCGUCCGACAGCUGGCGCUGCGGCGCACAGACCGCAGACAAACGCUAAGUGACAAGCUGGUUCGGCUGGCGCACAAUCAAUUAACCGCAUCAAACUAGCAAUUUGCGUUAUUUUUUUUUUUUUGAUUUUUUAGCUUUUGUCUUUUGGUCUGUAAUUAUUUUUCAGUUUUUGGCAGUAUUUUGUCUAUUACUAUUUUGGUGUUUAUGGUUUUAUUUAACACAUUGCUGUAAAGCCAUUCAGAAGAGAAUAGUUUGAGCUACUAAAUCAAAUCGUUUCUGGGUCAAACAAAAUUGGUUUGUUCUACAUUUGCUUGGUUCUACUUAGCCAGUUUAUUUUUUCUUUCUAUCAAUUUUCUGCUAUUACUCAAUCACUUUUCUCUUCCUUUGUUGAAUACACGAAACAACCUUUAAGUGAACAUUUAAGUAAUAGUAGUGAAAAUAUUCUGAUAUAGAUCUCAUAUUUAAUUAACACAUAUUUAAUUAACGUUACAGUAAUCUGUAACUCUCUCUACUUUAACGUAUUUCCUGCUUUUUAUUUGCGUUAUUUCCCCAUACGGUUAUUGAUUAUUAUUUACACUUCGAAAAUGGGUAUAUAUGUAUGUAUGUAUGUAUGCAAUUACUAGUUAUGCAUGCAAUUAUUAGUUUUUUCUCUUUCAAUCACAGCACAACAAGAAAUUUAUGCAUAACGGCAAUCAAAAUAAUUAAACAAUUUCCAGCUGCUCAUGCGGAAAAUGCCACGCCAGACGUACAAAUUAAAUUUCUUUUAAAAAAGCUUAUCUGCAGAUAAAGUCAGGAAAUUAGAUAAAAAUGUGUUGUAUUUCAUAUGCAAUAACAAAUUGCCACACACACACACACACAUAUACUAUUUUGUUUUCUUGCUUUGUUUUUCUUUAUUUACCUGUUUGUUUACCUCACUUUUGUAACCGAAGGCGAGGCAGACAGCUUGAGACGUCUGUCGUGUUAGCCACCAGCCACCCAAACCGCUCGUCCACUCUCCGCUUUGACACACACACAUAUACGCUUGCAUUAUGUAGUGUGCUCAUACGAUUUGAAUUGUUAUGAACCACCCAACGAAGGUCUAACAGCACAUACGCUAGCCCUUACUCGCUAGUGACUAGUAGCUAGUCAGUCUGUAGUUCCCCUUGCCGCCCCACUCUUUCGCCAGCACCCAAGCGAGCACGCGCUUUGCGGCGGCGACCUACUAAUUGUUAUUUGACAAUUAUUAUUUGCUGUUAUUCGACAAUUACUUUAUUCAAUAAAUUUGUGGCGACGCAAAUACUUUAUGUACAUAAAUAUAUAAUAAAUACAUAUAUACUCGAGUGUAUGUAUGUAUGUGCAUAUGUGAGUUAAGCGCUGCCGGCGCAUAAGACUCCCGCGUUUCUGCUUUUCUUUGUCGGCCAUCACUAAGUUCUUUAUGUCAAGGCAAAAGUGUAUCUACAAACAAUUGAAAAACAUUGAGGCGAUCAAGUUUCCACUGAACGAUUAAUGAUUUGAAUGACAGCAAUCAGUGACAGUCUAUUUUCUCUAGUCGUAUUGUUAAGGCUUGGGUUUUCGUUUGUAAUUAUAUAUAUAGAAAUAUUUUUUAAUUUUUUUUUUUAACGUGUGCGCUGACGACGAAUCUCCAAAUCGUUAUCU